UGGCACCUCGAUGUCGGCUCGUCGCAUCCUGGGGCUGGAGUAGGUCCCAAGGGUUGGGCUGUUCGCCCAUUAAAGCGGCACGCGAGCUGGGUUUAGAACGUCGUGAGACAGUUCGGUCUCUAUCCGCCGCGCGCGUAAGAAACUUGAGGAAAGCUGUCCCUAGUACGAGAGGACCGGGACGGACGAACCUCUGGUGUGCCAGUUGUUCCACCAGGAGCAUCGCUGGUUAGCUACGUUCGGAAGGGAUAACCGCUGAAAGCAUCUAAGCGGGAAGCCUGUUCCAAGAUGAGGUUUCUCACCACCUUGCGUGGUUAAGGCCCCCCACAGACCAUGGGGUUGAUAGGCCGGAACUGGAAGCGCAGCAAUGCGUGGAGGUGACCGGUACUAAUCGGCCGAGGGCUUACACAC
rnacentral:rRNA from 1 species